GAUGAAGGACGUAGUGAAAUGCGAUAAGUAAUGUGAAUUGCAGAAUUCAGUGAAUCAUCGAAUCUUUGAACGCACAUUGCGCCCCCUGGUAUUCCGGGGGGCAUGCCUGUUCGAGCGUCAUUACAACCCUCAAGCUCUGCUUGGUAUUGGGCCCCGCCAGUUCUGGCGGGCCCUAAAGUCAGUGGCGGUGCCUUCCGGCUCCGAGCGUAGUAAUUCUUCUCGCUCUGGAGACCCGGUUGUGUGCUUGCCAACAACCCCCAAUUUUUUAAGGUUGACCUCGGAUCAGGUAGGGAUACCCGCUGAACUUAAGCAUAUCAAUAAGCGGAGGA
rnacentral:misc_RNA from 1 species